AUUUACAUAAUUUAUAAUCAGAAUAUUGCAUUGAAGCUGCAAAAGAGGUCAAAAGACCUGUGAAUA
rnacentral:tRNA from 1 species